rnacentral:lncRNA from 1 species
CACUAAGACUAAGGAAGACUAGGAAAUGCUUCUCACAGAAGAUAGAGCUUUAGCUGAAACUUGAAGGUUGCCAAGAAAGCUUAGAGGUGGAGUUGAGAAAGGAGAGGUAGUGUUCCAAACACUGAAGACAGGGAAUAAAAAUGCUUAGGGUCAGGAGACUGAGGAUUGUGUGAGAUGAAAAGCAAGGAGACCAGUGUCAGUGAAGACAUUAUUACGAUAAAAUGAAUAUCCACCCAAAGGUGCAAUCUCAGUUGGAUGCUUGUUGGAAACAAAAAGGAGAUUCCUCAUCCAUGAGCUUUGGCAAUCAAUUACGGAAGAAAGAGAAACCUGACUUCAUAAAAUCAUUCAUUAUUGCAACCAAUGACCAUCUAGGCAAUCUUGCUGGCCCAGAUGAUGAUGCUGCUGCAGUCACCAACUCUGCAUGUCAAAGAAAACGAUCACAGGUUCUCUGUGUGUGUGUGGAGGAGAGGAUUAGCAAAGAGCUUACCACCUUCCUGUUAUAACAAUAUUUAUAGAAAUGCAAUGUCCCUUUGGACACUCUAAAAUAAAAGAGACUAAUACCAGCUUGAAGCCA